CAGAGCUCUUCUUCAGGUCUGGAAAGGUACUUUCAGCGUCACAGCUAAAUGCAAGCUGCAACAGAUUGUUUAGUAUAAGUAGCUAAUACGUAUUCUAAGGUACCAUUCAAGGUGACUGUAAACUUUUUGGGAUAGGGAUUGUCUCUUACAGUAUGUUUGCAUAGUGAUCAGCACAAUGGGGCCUCUUGGCACUACUGGAACACAAAUCAACUAUGAUGAUAAUCACAGUGCAUAAAUUCAGGCACAUACAUAAGUCUUCGCAGAAUCAGGACCUAAGCCUCUGAUCCUGUAAGCAAAUCUGGGCAGGUGCCACAUGGAGCUGUCUGCAGGACUCCAGCCUAACUUGAGAGCUCAUGCAGCAAGUGUGGGUCACAAAAAGGAAGGGGAGAGGCAGGAGAAGAGAUCUAAUAAUGAGAUGAAAUGGUUGUUCAAUGAGGCACUUCUUAAAAGAGAUAUUGAGCAUAGUGCUACUCUGUACAGGCAUAAAGGGGCCAUAUGGGUGGAUCCCUUUGCAGGCUUGGGACUGAAGGCAUGUACACAUCUUGUACACAUGGCUGCAUAGUGAGGGUUUUGAUUCAAAGCUUUAUUCCACUUUUUGUAGGCGAUACAAUAAUUUCUUUCACUGUCUGAGUAGUAAGUAGAAUAAAGAGUAUAUAUGGGAAAGGAGCUAUUGGUCUUGUGCAGAGUGUCCGCACAUAUUACAGCCCCACCCAAAAAACUAUUGUAAAAUAACACUAUUUCAGAUGUAGAAAAUAACCUCCUAUUUGUUUAAGCUAAAUCCUACAAGCCAAAUGAAACCUGCAAAGUUCCCAGAAUUAAAAAAGACAAAGGUCAGAUUCUCACUUAGGAAUAUUUCAUCUACAAGAAAGAGAAUAUAAAAUAGCAUGUUUUGAGGGAUGACGAGAACUGCUUCAGGAACAAUCUGCAGACCUUUAACAGAACCGUAUUUCUGAAAAGAGAAAAAAUGCAGCCCCUGGGAAAUCCCUUUUUGACAUAUGCUUCUUAUGUUCAAACGCAGUAAUGGGUCUGCUAUGCUAUGAGUCAUCCAGCACAAGAGUUAUAUGUGUUUCUUUAAAUAUACGGAAAGUAGCUGAAGGCAUGUAUGAAGCUGCAGAGUGGUUAUCUAUUAAGAAUCUCAACAAAUACCUGCAUUCAUUGAACUAGUUUCAGAGUAGCAGCCGUAGACUUUCCUGAUGGAAAAGAUCUCAUCUAGUUUAUUUGCAUCAUUCUGUUAAAAUAGAUUAGCAGAGUAGAAUCUGGACUGUUUACACUAAUUGAACAUACAAUUUAGUAGACGAGAGGCCCAUUGUGCUGCUAUCCAAGUCUCAGUGCUGUUUUACAGAGAAUUUGUGUGUGUGCAAAUAGCACAUUUUGAUUUUUCUUCCUCCUGAAGAAUUCUGUCAAAACUAGAGCAGGCUGAAUUAUCUGUAGGGAACAUUUGUUGGCUAUGUUGCUCUUUUUUCCAUUUGCAAAUAAUCUGUGAGCUCCUCCUGCUUUCUGCCUACCGAUUUGUUAUUAAUUUGGAGCCACCAUUUUCAGCCACCAGGUAGUUUGCAAGCUGCUUAGUUUGACUCUGCAAUUCACAGGAUAUGAUCAGUCACAUAAGUCACAAGGUACUAUUUCUUCUACCUGACAGGAUCAUUGAAAUGUUUUUAAACAGAAGCAUGACAAAUAGUGAAUAUUUUUGGUCCGACUCAAAGACGCAUGUAAAUACUGGUAAACAGAUGAAACACCUAUUCUACAAUAAGUUCAAAUGAAUAUUUGCAAACAGUGAAUAACAAAGGCAGGGGACGCUAAUAUGGUUACAAGGAAUACAGAGGGACAUGUAUUACACUACAGUAUGUAUAGCUCUGAUCACAGAUCCACACUGACUGGGUUAGCCUUUUUUUACUAUCCCAUCUGUGCACUAAAUCUCAGUGGUGCACAGCUGGGUUAUCAAAUGCAAAAAAAAAAAAAAUCCCUAUCUCCAAUAUAUUGAAUGGGUGAAGAAAGCCAUUAACAGAGAAAAAGAAAACACAGGUAGCUGAGAGAGGCAUGAGCUGCAGAAGGAAAAAGUGACAUUUUCUCUACUGCCUGUGUGGGUCUCAACCCUUGGUGAAGCUCAUCAUGGGGUUAUAUGUGUCUGUUGCGGGGAGGGUGUUUGUGUGUGUCCUGUCCGUCUCUUGUGCAUCCACUCUGAGCAGGAACUCAGCUGUGCCCACUGGUCCAUUUUUAGGGAAAUCUCUGUCUCUCUUUUAUUUUGUGAGAGCAGUUUUAGGAGAGUUGGCCUUUGGGGGGAUGUCUUGAUGCUUUGUGGCCCCACUAGGCCUUUCUUUCCUUUAAGUUCUGUGCAGCCUUAUCCACUUUGUUGCAGGACCCCAUCUUUCCUUGUGCUUCAGGAUAGCACAAAUUAAACCCACCAGCAUCAAGUUAUGUCCUUCCCAUCAUGUUGUUAUGUCUGCAGUAGGACAAACCCACUCAGCACCUGUUCUGCCUCAGGGAGAGAGGCCCUGAGGGUCGGGCUUUCUCCAAAUAAACAUGAUCUCAAGAAAGCUGUUUCAAACGCCACCUGUUGGAGGCAGACAUGCAGGUCUCAUCUCCCAGUAGCAAGGGGCCAACGACUGAGUAACACCAAGGUCUCAGUUCCAGUCCACCAAGUCCAGCACUACUAGCCAAGUGAGUUCCAUGUCUGCUGAAGUUUGGAUAUGUAAGAACAAAAUGAUGAUUGAUGGCCCAUAUGGCAGCUAGCCACUGCAUAAGCAUUUGAAAUUUCUGGCAGUUUCCCAGAACUGCUGGUAGAAAAAAUGUUAACACCACUUUUAGGGACACGUUUUCAAAAAGAGUGGUCUCCAUGCAACUUUUUCACACAUGAUCCAGUUUUUUCUCCAUAUCCAUCUAUUUGUGCCUCUAACUACCAGACUUGGACUCAUAAUCAGGUAGGAAGGGGUACAAGUAUUUAGACUUACACUUACACGUUCAUUGUGUGGGUACAAUUUUUGUAUGUAAAAAUUGCACCUUUAAAAAAUGGAAGAUCAGGUCUCAGUUUGUAUCAAAAGUUCUCUAUAAUCGGCUUGUUGCUGCAUUCUGAACUUUGGCAUGAAAAAUAUCACUGCUGCAUGGAAUGCCAUAGUGAUGUGAG